UUACAGGCGUGAGCCACGGUGCCUGGCCCCAGGCCUUUUAGACUGAACUCAGACAUCACCUCCUUCAGAAAGCCUUCAUGAUGAGUGUUUGUGUCUGCCAGGCAUGGCACUAAGUGUCCCAUGGCACAUUUGGCCCUCAUGGAGGCCUCAAAAGGGCAGGACCAGCACGCUCUUCUACGGAGGAAGGAACGGGCACAGCAGGUACGUGAUGUGGUCAAAUUAACAAGAGGCAGAGGCCGGGGUGAGCCACUGCGCCUGAUCAAGGCAUCACCGUUGAACCUCCUAAGAGGAAAACAUAAGGCUGUGCAAUACCAGGAACUGGGAUUCUAGGUUGCCCCAGACACCAAGGCAUCAAAAGCCAGGGGAUCCAGAGAAAACACAGACAGCCAAGAGAGAAACUGCGGGAAAAGCCAAAAGGUUGAGAGCCACACCAUCUAGAAGCUUCCUGCCUGCGGUGCGGCACAGAAACAAGGAGAGUCAGCAAUUACCAGCCAGCCGAGGUCCUGGAAGCUGACGUAGAGCUCGUGCCGACGGCAGACCUGCCGGCCGUGGGAGCCGUGGACGUCAUCUGCAGGGACAGAAGGGGCAAGGUCUUUUCUGGGGUUCCUGCUGUGUGCAGCUACUAUGGGGUACCAGGGUGGGGGAUGCCCUGAUGAGCACAUUUGUCAAAUAAAUGAAUGACAGGAAACCA
rnacentral:antisense_RNA from 1 species